rnacentral:rRNA from 1 species
GCGCCAGCGAUGGCCGGUUGCGAGGUGCUGCAUGGUUGUCGUCAGCUCGUGCCGUGAGGUGUCGGGUUAAGGUCCCAUAACGAGCGCAACCCCUACUGCUAGUUGCCAGCGGGUCAUGCCGGGGACUCUAGCGGAACUGCCAGCGUAAGCUGCGAGGAAGGUGGGGAUGACGUCAAAUCAGCACGGCCCUUACGUCCAGGGCUACACACGUGUUACAAUGGCCAGUACAGAGGGCAGCCACCCCGCGAGGGGGCGCUAAUCCUAAAAGCUGGUCCCAGUUCGGAUCGGAGUCUGCAACCCGACUCCGUGAAGCUGGAUUCGCUAGUAAUCGCGCAUCAGCCACGGCGCGGUGAAUACGUUCCCGGGCCUU